rnacentral:rRNA from 1 species
AACGAACGUUGGCGGCGUGGAUUAGGCAUGCAAGUCGAACGCGAACCGGGGGCAACUCCGGGGAGAGUGGCGAAAGGGGCAGUAAGGCGUGGGUAACGUACCCUCUGGACCGGGAUAGCCGGCCUAACGGCCGGGUAAUACCGGGCGAUGUGUCGGGGUCGCAUGACCUGGACACGAAAUGGUCCGCCGCCGGAGGAGCGGCUCACGUGGUAUUAGCUUGUUGGCGGGGUAACGGCCCACCAAGGCGAAGAUGCCUAGCGGGUGUGAGAGCACGACCCGCGCCACUGGCACUGCGACACUGGCCAGACUCCUACGGGAGGCUGCAGUCGAGGAUCUUCGGCAAUGGGCGCAAGCCUGACCGAGCGACGCCGCGUGGAGGACGAAGGCCUUCGGGUUGUAAACUCCUGUCGAGGGGGAGGAAGGGGCAACCUUGACCGACCCCUGGAGGAAGCACGGGCUAAGUUCGUGCCAGCAGCCGCGGUAAGACGAACCGUGCGAACGUUGUUCGGAUUCACUGGGCUUAAAGGGCGCGUAGGCGGGUGACAUAGUCCGGGGUGAAAUCUUUCGGCUCAACCGGAAAACUGCCUUGGAUACUGGUCACCUGGAGGGAGGUAGGGGCACGCGGAACUUCCGGUGGAGCGGUGAAAUGCGUAGAGAUCGGAAGGAACGCCGGUGGCGAAAGCGGCGUGCUGGACCUCUUCUGACGCUGAGGCGCGAAAGCCAGGGGAGCAAACGGGAUUAGAUACCCCGGUAGUCCUGGCUCUAAACGAUGGGUACUAGGUUGUGGACUUGACAUGGGUUCACAGCCGAAGCAAAGUGCUAAGUACCCCGCCUGGG